UACAGAGGGGGCAAGCGUUGUUCGGAAUUACUGGGCGUAAAGGGCGCGUAGGCGGCCCUCUAAGUCAGACGUGAAAUCCCCGGGCUCAACCUGGGAACUGCAUCCGAAACUGCCUUGCUCGAGUAUGGGAGAGGGAAGUGGAAUUUCCGGUGUAGCGGUGAAAUGCGUAGAUAUCGGAAGGAACAUCAGUGGCGAAGGCGACUUCCUGGACCAAUACUGACGCUCAGGUGCGAAAGCGUGGGGAGCAAACAGG
rnacentral:rRNA from 1 species